GCCACAACUUCUCGAUUGGAUUCGCAUCAGGCGAUUUUGGCGGCCAGUCCAACAGUGUGACAUCAUGCUGGCGUAGCCAUUGUUAUGUUGACCGAGACGUGUGGAUUGGCGCGUUGUCCUGCUGGAAGACAAAGUCGUCUCCUAUCAAUGCCGCUGCGUCUGUAAGCAUGUGCUCUUCCAGAACCUGUUGGUACGCCGUGCUGUCCAAACGACCUUCCAGUUUCACCAGAGACCCCACACCAUGCCAACACAUCGAUCCCCACACCAUCACACUAGCCGCGUGCUGGACCGUACGGUCACAACAUUCAAGGAGAAAUUCCUCACCUUUGCGACGCCAAACGUACAGAGCACCAUCGUUUCCUAUGCUGACUUUUGACUCAUCUGUAAAAAGAACAGAUUUCCAGUCAUCCAAAGUCCAUUGUGUGCCUCCGAGCGUUCACUCCUGUCUCACUGAGACGACGACGGACUGUUCUACUUGACACCUGCUUGCCGGUUUCAUCAGCCAGCUGAUACGAGAGCAGUCGUGAUGGUGCUCUGCGGUUCUGCAGUGCCAUUCUCUUCAGUCGAUGAUCUUCCCGGAUUGUCGUUGCCUUCCCACGUCCAGAUCGUUUUUCAUAAUCGCUGCUGCCAUGGGAAAGCCGUUGCAGGCACUGAUGAACCGAAUUCCUGGAGCGGCGGACAAAAGCUGCGAUGUGACGCACAGAAUGGCCAACUGAGUGAAGGGCUUCAAUUUUGCCUCGCGUUUUUGGACUCGACUGUUUGCCUCGAGGCAUCGCUGCAACUCGUGAAAUAUCGCACGGAACAAGACUCUGCAACUGCGUGCAGCUGAACGUUCAGGCUAACUUAUCGCCUAAGUUUGGCGGUCUCAAGGGCAGCGGUUUUAGUGCAGCUGACAUUUUGGCGGUAGCAGUUUGAGAUUUCGCUACGUAAAACGUGGACCGGAAGUGGCACGUCAAUGUUCUUUUGUUGCUAUAACUUUUUUAGUUUUUGUCCUAGCAGGAUUGUUUUGUAAUUAAUUAGUGUCGCAUGAUUUUUGAAUACGUUGCUAGUAGGGCACUAGCAAACUUACAUGAAGGUCUGAAUGUCUUUGGAAGUAUAAUGCAAAGAUGGUUCUAGAUACUUUUGUUGCUAGUAGAGGUACAGAUGUAUGGGUUUAUGUUUAGUUUACUUUUUCAGACUCACAUAAGCAGGCUUUAGCACAAAUAAGAAUAUAUUUGUUUACAAAUAAAA